rnacentral:rRNA from 1 species
GGGCACUUUGGACAUGGGCGAACCCUGAUCCAGCCAUGCCGCGUGUGUGAAUAAGGUCUUCGGAUUGUAAAGCACUUUAAGUUGGGAGGAAGGGCAGUAAGUUUAUACCUUGCUGUUUUGACGUUACCGACAGAAUAAGCACCGGCUAACC